rnacentral:rRNA from 1 species
AAGUGGAGAAGGGUUCCAUGUGAACAGCAGUUGAACAUGGGUCAGUCGGUCCUAAGGGAUGGGCGAACGCCGUUCCGAAGGGUGGGGCGAUGGCCUCCGUCGCCCCCGGCCGAUCGAAAGGGAGUCGGGUUCAGAUCCCCGAACCCGGAGUGGCGGAGAUAGGCGCCGCGAGGCGUCCAGUGCGGUAACGCAAACGAACCCGGAGACGGGCGGGGGCCCCGGGAAGAGUUCUCUUCUUUGUGAAGGGCAGCGCCCUGGAAUGGGUUCACCCCGAGAUAGGGGCCCGCGCCCUGGAAAGCGCCGCGGUUCUGGCGGCGUCCGGUAGCCUCGCUGGCCCUUGAAAAUCCGGGGGAGAGGGUGUAAAUCUCGCGCCGGGCCGUACCCAUAUCGCAGCAGGUCUCCAAGGUGAACAGCCUCUGGCAUGUUGGAACAAUGUAGGUAAGGGAAGUCGGCAAGUCAGAUCCGUAACUUCGGGAUAAGGAUUGGCUCU